AUUUAAAUAGUUUAAAAAAAAUAAAAGUUUGUGGAACUUUUGAUGUAAAUUAUUACUUUAAAUA
rnacentral:tRNA from 1 species